UACGUAGGGUGCGAGCGUUGUCCGGAUUUAUUGGGUUUAAAGGGUGCGUAGGCGGGGUAUUAAGUCAGUGUUCAAAAACGGCAGCUCAACUGUCGGCCGGGCAUUGAUACUGAUACUCUUGAGACCAUUGGGGGCAGCCGGAAUUUGUGGUGUAGCGGUGAAAUGCUUAGAUACCACAAGGAACACCGAUCGCGAAGGCAGGCUGCCACGCUGGAUCUGACGCUGGAGGCACGGAAAGCGUGGGGAGCAAACAGG
rnacentral:rRNA from 1 species